rnacentral:lncRNA from 1 species
AAAAGGAGAAUCAUUUUCAUGCUCUCUCUCUCAAGAAUCCCCUCCGACAUAAGCGACACUCUAACCCUAACUCUUUUCCAAAGAAUCUCGUAAAGUCAAGAGCUCAUAUUCCCCAUACCGCAAGAGAAAAACUAAUACAAUAUCAUCCCUCUAUAGAUGUGAAUCCAUGUGGGAAUUUUGAAAGGCGGGAAUUAUAUUGGGGUUUCGUUUUUCUGUUAUUAAGGAUGCAAAUUGUGGAGAGGGAUGACGAUAUUUAUGCCCCAAGGGUUCCCAAUGGAUCGAUGUCGCGUGCAGUCCACUAUUCCCCUUUGUUCUGCGUUGAUAGCUUCUCCAGGAAGAGUUUUUCCUACAACAAGCUUCCUCAGGAGCCCCUCCGGCUCAGCGUUCUCAAAUUGGACGGCUCAUCUUUUGGUAAAUUGCUUUUCGUGUUUUCCCCUUCUUUUGUUAAUGCGGAUGAUUUGAGAUACGUGUUUGUACUGGCGUGUAUGUGUAUGUGCUAAUGUGUGUAAAUUGCAUGUGGAAUUAAACAUUUCGGAUUUUAUAUUGUGUUUUCCAUUUUAUAGAAAUUCAGGUGGCUAAAAAAGGGACGGUGAAGGAGCUGAAGCUGGCGGUUGAGGCGGCAUUUAGUCAUUUGCCAAAGACAGGGCCUGGUAGAGUUUCAUGGUAAUGCACUCUGAAUUUGUGAAACUUUAUCAUUUUUAUUUAUUUAUUUAUUUAUUUUUUCUGGGGGAGGUCAUAUGAUGGAUUGAAUCAGCAAUUUGCCGUAAGUUUUGGAAUUUUAAUUCUGGUAGUGGUAUAUGAAUCUGAAAUUGCAAAACAAUUGGAAUGGCAAUGAAAGUUCAAUUUUCUUGUGGUGCAUCUCACCCGUGAUUAUAUGAAGUUGAGAAGAAAGGAAAAUUGGCCAGAAUUGGUGUUUCUGAGACCGUACAAAAGAUGGAGACAGUCUUACAUUACCAUAUACAUGGAGAAUGUGUUUAUCAAUUACGAAUUCUUAUUCUAAUAGCAAUCAACUUCCUAUGCUUAUUCCUUUGUCCUAUCGUCAUUGUCUGUUCCCUAUACAGCACUCAAACCAAGAUGGUAAUUUCAAUUUGACGUCUCAAUUUGUGGUGGCACCUCCAUUUUCUUGGUAGAUUAUUGAAUUGCUUUUUGAACAGCAGUAGAUUAAUUGUAUUCGCUAUGGGCAUUGAAAGCAUCAAUUCCAUAUUUGCAUUCGAAUUUUUCCAAUAUAAAUUUGUUAUAAGUUAUGUGUUUCUUAAUAAUGGGAGUUUAUUACGUUUAGUUCAGACGUGCAUGAGUUUGGAAUUGGAUUUUUCGUGGUGUGCUAUUAAUGUUCAUUUAUCUCUGAGAAAAAUGGCUUUAUAUUUUGGCAGAUUCCGGUCGUAAUUAUCUUGUAUGGUUCUUUCUGAUACCAUAAUGGAAGUCAAAUUUGUUUAUGCAGGCCACAUGUAUGGGGUCAGUUUUGUCUUUCCUACAAUAGCCACAAGCUACUUAAUGACAGCAGUUAUUUAGGAAUCUACAAGAUCAAAGAUGGUGAUCAGGUUCGUAGUUGUUCUAGAGUAUAUGUGUUUGCAGACAACUUCGUGCAAAAUGUUACGUCUUAUUUACUAGAAAUUUACACUAAAGGGAAACAAGAGAAGACAAGGUAGAAACAGUGCCCUCUAUAUUCUUCAUAGAGUGAAGUAGGUUCAGAUGCUUUAAUAUUGUGUCGGCACAUGGAUCAUAAGUAGCUAAAUCACAGAUCAUAUUUACAACCUAUAAAUCUGGUCUCUCUUUUGUUAUUUCUUCUAGUUGAUUUCAUCAUAUAGAAUUGGGAGAAAAUAUAAUAAUUGGGAGAAUUGUGGCAUUUCCUUUUCCCUUCAUGGAGAAAAUAAAUUGACUAAAGACAACAUUACUCUGGUUUAACAUGAGUUCUGUAGGAUGAUUCUGGUUUAUCAUAAAGUUCUCUAUAAAAAAGGUCAUGGAUGAUCUGAUAUGAAAUUCAUGACCAUAAGUUAGGAACAGUUGUGACAAUGGAUGACCAAUUUGUGUGAAAAAUGAGAGCAAACCAGAUAUACAAAAAGAAAUAAAAUUGUUGGUUUGUAGUGAUCAGCGCCAUGUAGUCCUUGUUUAUAGUUCAUUGAAUUUGUGAACAACUAAAAAGAUCGUAUAAUCAAUACUUUGUCUAGAUUUAAAACAGCAGUUUGUUCAGUUUAGUAUUCUAGAAUCUGUUUGUAAUUAUCGCCGUAUAAAUAUCCAUUACAUUAGUUUAGCUGAAAAUUUUGUCCAUAAGAAAAUUUAUGUUGCACAUCUUGUCUUGUGUCAUAAUCUUCAUGUUUUUUGCUCCUCCAGCUUCGCUUUACUCGCCAUUCCUCCAUCAACUACAAUUUGGCAAGGUUGCAAUCAGAGAAAGAGGACUCGGAUUUAGAUGAUGAACCUGAUAGGUAAGUUUCUUGUGCUCACACUUUUCGUUAGGUAGUGUUGGUUGGCUUUAUCCCUAAUUACUGCCCCAUCAUGAGGCAUUGUGAUCUCCAUCAUUGUAACAGAGUCAACUGAAAUAGACAUGUUCAGAACAGGCCAUGGUGCAAUAAUUAUGAUAUUGGAUGAAAAUCAUAUUCCCUUGUACUGUUAAACAAAUAGUGCAAAUGCACCUAAUAUUUGUUGCAUCAGCUUCCAAGUUUCUGGUCAUUAGAAUAGACAUCUCUUUUCUAUAUAUCAAAUUAUGACUCCACCCUCAAUUUUGCUUCCCUUCUGAUUCAUAAAACGAACACUGAAUAUACUAUGAGGAUUUUUGUCUUUUCAAACCUUUUGAGAUUAUCUUGGAGCUUGCAUUCCAAUCAAUAUUCAGCACGGAAACCAGAAGAUUACAGAUUUCCUAGCUUUCACACGUUUAUUGAAGCUAUUCAUCAUCGAUGCAUGUUGUUACUAAUUUGGUCCUGUUUAAAACAUUUUGUGAUUUAAAUGGACACAGGAACAGACAAGAGAAUGUUCAAAGUCAUUAUAUAGAGAUCAUAGAGAACAAGCAAGAUGACAAUGUUGAGUCUGAUAAAGGUGUCGUUAUGCAAUAUGAGUUCAAGUUAACUCACUUGUUAAGAGGGUGGUUCCCAAAUCAUAAAUUGCCCAGCUCUGAGAUGACAGUGGAGAAGAGUAGUUCCUCGAGAUUUUCACAGAGUUUAGCAAGAGGUUUUAAAAAUGUCGUACGGUUUUUGCAGUAAUAAAUGUACAUCUAAAGGGGAGACUUGGAAAGCAGGGCAACAGCUUGGAUUGUUGCAUCUUCACGAUCUGGGACUGUGCCUCAACCAAUCACCGGGAAUGAACUUGAGUCGGAAAGCUUUCAUCAAAGCUCAACAUCCAUAAUGCAAACUGUCCUGUAAAAUGAAUUAUGACUUGUAGAAUCAAAAGAUAGAUUUGAUCUUUUUUUUUUUUUUUUGCUCCAUUGUCACCAUUAUUGAGGCUGAAUAAUGAGAAACGUUUGCCUUAGUACAUUCCUGUUGGCUUACCUCUGAAUUACAUUUCGUCGAAUGUCGAAAGAACUCCGUUUUCUCCUAGUUUUAGUGGUUGAUCUGAGAUUAAGCUCAAAUAUAAGCUAG